rnacentral:lncRNA from 1 species
CUGCCCUUGGCAAAGCCUCUCUGCUUUGUGCAACUGAUUUCCUCAUAGACCAAAAGAGAUCACAGGCUGCAAACAAACCAUUUGCUGCAUAAUGUGGAUUUGCUGCUGGUAAAUCACAGCACCAGAGAAGUCACUGGGAAGAGAUGGUACUUUUACCAGUGAGAUUCUCCCAGGCAUGGAAGAACUCUGGUGGGCCGAACAUGGGUUGAAAAUGGAUUAUAUCCAUGAGCAGGAGUUUUAUUUGUGUGGAUGUUGAAGAAGAGCAGUGUGACUGACCCAGCAUGAAGUUGUACCCCAAGUUCAGGGGGAAAACCUAAAACAAGGUGUGAAUCUAAGCUGAUGCCCAGAACAUCAAGGAUCUGUGCUAAAGGCUGGUCAAGGAAUCUGAGCUACAUAUCUCAUCUGGGUGACAGAAACAACCUCAGACACUCUCAUUCUGCCCUUGCUGAGGACAGUGGAGCUACUGAGUACUCAGCAUCAGAGUUAAAAGGACCAACCACGGCUGUAUUUCUUGGGAGAAGUACACCCCUGGGUUUUCCACAACUUUGGAGGAAGCCAGACUGGUGCUGUCAUGCUCACCCACGUUUCUUAUUUCUAAAGAAGAAUCUCUGCCUGUGCUGCAUGUGACAGUCCCACUCACUGCAUGUGACAGGUCCCCAGGGCCCGGGGCAGCACUGACAAUGACAGGCAGCACCCAGGCUGCACUGCUAACAUUCCAGCCCUGGGUGAGUGUGAGAGGUGUUGAUGCUUUCCUUAAAGCCUCAGCUAAGGGAGAUGAGUGGUUUAUAUAAGAAUUGCAUCUCCAUUUAUGUAUUUUAAGUGUGCAGCUAGCCCUAGAGGCUGGAACAGUGGCUGUGCAGAACAGCUUGAGAACAUGAACUGAAAGUGCUCUUGAGGCUGAUAAAAUAGAAGGAAAAAUGAAAAAAGAAAUCUUCCUUCAAACUUCAUCAUAUUUAUGCUGCUUUCACACAUUAAGAAUACAUCUUUAACAAGUGUUCAAGGCAAGGCAUAACUGGAAUAUUUUCAUAUAAAGCACAGUGUACUAGGCUACAAUUUCUUUCCCAGUCUCAGGUGACAUCAUUAUGAAAAGAUUGCAGUGUAGAACAGGGGACCCUUCACUCUCCUGAGCCACAGCACUGAAGCUAUGGUUGGUUACAGCUCUUUACACAAAGGUUUGCCCAGUGUAACCACAAGUACCUGUGAAAUUCACUUCACCCCUGAGCUUUUGAAGUAAAGGGCUCCCCAACUCUAUAGACACCGUGUGUGGGAACACCACCACCUCCUCUUGGUCCCAAAAUUCACACUACAGACAAGGACACCAAACAGCAUCAAAAUAUCUCACAUGAGACCUCACUGACUUCUCUCAAGCCUCUGCUCAAGGGAAGCUCCUCCUUCCUUGUGUGGAGAGAUUAUUCAAGGGGCAACUUCCCACACACACUCUCCCAGUGCCUGGAAGACCACCAGUGCUGUGAAAAGCCACUCCAGUCGACUCUAAAGGUAUGGCAGUUAAUCUUUCCCUCACUAAGGAGUUCUGCACAUGACCUAUAUAAAUGCUCUACAUCACUCUGGAAAGACCAGGACAGCUUCAUGCCACCACCUCUUCCUUCUGCACAUGCUUGGGCAUAGCCAAGCAAGCCUGAUAUGCUCUGUGCUACCUUCCUACCAGGUAUGUGCUUACCAGCUUCUCUACCUUUGCAGCCUGCUCUGAGCUCUCCCCUGCAGUGCCAAGUGCAUCCUAAAUACAGGCUGGCUGUGUCCAGAUAAACUCCAGCCCCAACAGCGAAGGGACUCCUGCAGCUGAGUCAGAAGAAACCAGGGCAGCACAUCCCUCCUCCAGAGAUGGACUCAUCAGUAAGAUCAAUGACCAGUCAAUAACAGGAUUCAUAGAAGUCUAAAGUACCAAAAAUCUGCCAUUCAUUUUGUCCCAGUAAUUAAGAGUCUUUGUCCUGAAGCCUCCUAAAAGGAUUUCAAUGAAAUCUUCAUUUUCACAAUGAUCUUUUCCUUAUCUUUCUCCCUCCAUGGAGACACAAACUGUGCAACUAAAAUUAAACCAGCCAGAUGUAUCCUAGAGCCAUGUUCAUGGGAGCACCUAUUUCAUUCUGUCACUUGCCUUGUUCUGGGGUGAGGCUCUACACAGGAAUGCAAAAACAACAACAAAAAAGAGGCUCUGACAUUUUACAGUACAUUUUCUCAAUGUCACUCUGCACACCUGAAAAGUAGACAGAUUUCCUCAUGUUUCUCUACCAGCUCUCUUCUUCAUUGGUAGAUAACUCAAAACUCAGCUGGAUUCAAGGGCAAGAGGGGCAGCUCAUGCACUGAACCCAUAGACCCCUUCCCAGGCCACAGCCUUCAUUCACCUGUGCUGUUGCAUGUGGGGGUUCAUCCUAUAGCAGAUGUCACAGCCAUGCAAAAUGCCUUCUCUCCUAUUUAGAUAGAUAUGGUCUGAGCACUCUUAAUUCCAGACGUGGAGAAUCUAAAAUCUUUCCACAAUUUGAGAACUUAGAACUGGGAAGAGCAACCAUUAGUGGGCUGCAUGUUAAAGGAGACCAGAGUCCUCGGAAUCAGGAUCUCCUUGCAACAUGCACAGCUAAGAAGAAAAGAGUUUAAAAGUGAAUGCUAACCAAUGAACUGCAUGUUGCAAACGCUCCCCCAUCCUGCUCCUUCCUACCCACCAAAGCCAUAUUCCAAAUUUGAAGCAAACUCUUGCUUGUCAACACUCUUCUUGGGAGAGCUCCCUCACGGUGCUGGAAACAGCCUUCCCUGGCUUCCCUGCCCAAGCUCAGCCUCCAGGUUUCUACAUUCGCCAUAUGACACACUGAGUUAGCCCAGGGUUUAAUAUAUUCCCUCAUGCUGCUGUCCUUUAAAAGCCUUGGCAUUUCCUACACACAGAUUCCAUAUUGACUUUACAAGUACCAAGACACCACGGUGAAAUUUAAACUAAAUAUAGAGGUGAUAUUUUUAAAUAACUCUCAGCUCCAACUCGCCAAGCCGAUUUUAUUUGAACGAAAAAGGCAGACUCCAGCUUUAAGCUUCCAUUGUAAUUAAUGAUUACAACACAUUCCUCUGCCGUAUCAGAUUUAGCACCUCAUUAAGGUACGUGGUAUUUUUCUUGCAUGGCACAGCUGUAGCUAAAGUUGACUUAGUGUUUCCAUUAUAAGCCCAUGUUUUCAAAGGUUUAUCACUCAGACACAUGAGAUUUAGUCUGAAAUGAAAAUUGCCAUCGAGAGUGUCAGCUGGGAAGCAAUUUCUUGUCCUUCAAAACCUGAAAGCAACAAACGCCAAGAAAAAAAAAAAGCAAGCCACUCUGUUUAUUAAUAAUUCACAUUUUAAAAAGCAUUGCAAAUACAUGUUUACAUGAUAGCCUGUGACAGCUCCAUAGAAUGUCAACACCCACACGUUCCUGGGAGAUGUGUCAUCUUAAAAUCCGAAAUAAAAGCCUCAUUUUUACACCA